CCGGCAGAGAUCAUGGAUAGGAACUGAAAUCAGAGAAUGAAGACUUCAUGUAAGUACAAAGUGUACAGCUCUAACUCAAGGCCAUGUUCUUCUUCAUGGAAUUGAUCAUUUGUGGAUUAAGCACCAAGUGCUUCUACCCUUUACCCUUAAUAGCCUUUUGUUCUGCGUUCGACAUUGCUUUCUCUCAGUGGGAUGUCGUGGAAUAGAAUUUUGUUUCUACUUUUCACCCAGCCUUUUUUUUUAUGUUGUACAUAGCUGUUUAUUGGGUUUUUGUGAGGAUAGAUGUGUAAAUUCUCUAGCUGGGGGGCUU
rnacentral:misc_RNA from 1 species